GGCUCAGAUUGAACGCUGGCGGCAUGCCUUACACAUGCAAGUCGAACGGCAGCACGGACUUCGGUCUGGUGGCGAGUGGCGAACGGGUGAGUAAUGCAUCGGAACGUGCCAUUGAGUGGGGGAUAACGUAGCGAAAGUUGCGCUAAUACCGCAUAUUCUGUGAGCAGGAAAGCAGGGGACCGCAAGGCCUUGCGCUCUUUGAGCGGCCGAUGUCAGAUUAGCUAGUUGGUGAGGUAAAGGCUUACCAAGGCGACGAUCUGUAGCGGGUCUGAGAGGAUGAUCCGCCACACUGGAACUGAGACACGGUCCAGACUCCUACGGGAGGCAGCAGUGGGGAAUUUUGGACAAUGGGGGCAACCCUGAUCCAGCCAUGCCGCGUGAGUGAAGAAGGCCUUCGGGUUGUAAAGCUCUUUCGGCCGGGAAGAAAUCGCAUGGGCCAAUACCCUGUGUGGAUGACGGUACCGGAAUAAGAAGCACCGGCUAACUACGUG
rnacentral:rRNA from 1 species